CUGCGCCACGAGUGGUGAUCGCGUUUAUUGGGCCUAAAGCGUCCGUAGCCGGAUCGAUAACUCUUUUGUGAAAUUGUUAAUGUCAACUUAACAACGUGCAUAAGAUAGUGUCGAUCUUGAGACCGGAGAGAAGUUAGAAGUAUGCCUGGGGGAGCGGUAAAAUGCUAUAAUCCUAGGUAGACUACCUGUGGCGAAGGCGUCUAACUAGAACGGAUCUGACGGUGAGGGACGAAAGCUAGGGGAGCAAUCCGGAUUAGAUACCCGAGUAGUCC
rnacentral:rRNA from 1 species